UGCCAGACUCCUACGGGAGGCAGCAGUGGGGAAUAUUGCACAAUGGGGGAAACCCUGAUGCAGCGACGCCGCGUGAGUGAAGAAGUAAUUCGUUAUGUAAAGCUCUAUCAGCAGGGAAGAAAAUGACGGUACCUGACUAAGAAGCCCCGGCUAACUACGUGCCAGCAGCCGCGGUAAUACGUAGGGGGCAAGCGUUAUCCGGAUUUACUGGGUGUAAAGGGAGCGUAGGCGGCAGUGCAAGUCAGAAGUGAAAGCCCGGGGCUCAACUCCGGGACUGCUUUUGAAACUGUACAGCUUGAUUGCAGGAGAGGCAAGUGGAAUUCCUAGUGUAGCGGUGAAAUGCGUAGAUAUUAGGAGGAACACCAGUGGCGAAGGCGGCUUGCUGGACUGUAAAUGACGCUGAGGCUCGAAAGCGUGGGGAGCAAACAGGAUUAGAUACCCGCGUA
rnacentral:rRNA from 1 species